rnacentral:lncRNA from 1 species
AUCCCUUCAUUAUCAUAUUCUUCUUCUUAUUCUUCAAUUCUUCGCAUGUUAUCACUUCUGUUUGCAACCCUUCAUUAUCAUAUUCUUCUUCUUCUUCUUCUUCUUCCUUUCUUCGCAUUUUAUCACUUCUAUUUGCAACCCUUCAUUUCCUCUACAUUUCCUCUACGUUUUCUCUCAUGGAUUCCAAGAAAUAACUCUCACGCUCUCCAUCUUAC